GACGAACGCUGGCGGCGCGCUUAACACAUGCAAGUCGAGCGAGAACCAGGCCUUCGGGCCUGGGGACAGCGGCGAACGGGUGAGUAACACGUGGGUAAUCAACCCUCGAUACUGGGAUAG
rnacentral:rRNA from 1 species